ensembl:lncRNA
UAGAAAUGUUCUUUUAAUAAAUGUACUAAAUAAGAUGCAUAAUUUAGCUCCUUCUCUGUAGCCUGCCGGCCAGCUGCCAGCUCUGAACUCCUUCUCGGCCUCUCUCUUUUCCUCCUCCCUUGAUCUCUCACCAUCCCUCCCUUGGGUUUGACUCAGCACGGAAAUUACCUGCUGGCCUGGUAAAAACAAUCUCAUUAAAAAGCCAUCACAGUUGUGCCUGAUGGCUUCAUUUGUCCCCCAGUGGCUCAAUUUAUACCUUCCUUUGGAACAAGCAGAGAGUGAGUACUCUCCAGGAUGGCUUUUUCCAGCUGUACUAUAUGCAUCCCAACAGACCACAGGCCUCAAGUAAAAGUCAACAAGCUGAGAAUCCGAAGACCUUGUUUUAAGAUAGACCGUUGGAAAACUGUUUGCUAUCUGGACAAAUAAGAACUUCUCCAAGGAGACCUUGUCUCUCUGCCUCUACAGAAAGCAGCUGGCAUCUUUAAUACACAGACCACCCAAUUGCAAUGGCAAAACUGUAUGUAGAGAAAAAAUAAAAAACAGUAAACAGUGGUAGUGAAUUAUGUA